AGGGGCAUCAUAUAGUGGUAGUAUGUCAGUCUCCAAAACUGAUCGCGAGGGUUCGAGUCCUUCUGCCCCUG
rnacentral:tRNA from 1 species